GACGAACGCUGGCGGCGUGCCUAAUACAUGCAAGUAGAACGCUGAAGGAGGAGCUUGCUCUUCUGGAUGAGUUGCGAACGGGUGAGUAACGCGUAGGUAACCUGCCUGGUAGCGGGGGAUAACUAUUGGAAACGAGAGCUAAUACCGCAUAAGAGUAGAUGUUGCAUGACAUUUGCUUAAAAGGUGCAAUUGCAUCACUACCAGAUGGACCUGCGUUGUAUUAGCUAGUUGGUGGGGUAACGGCUCACCAAGGCGACGAUACAUAGCCGACCUGAGAGGGUGAUCGGCCACACUGGGACUGAGACACGGCCCAGACUCCUACGGGAGGCAGCAGUAGGGAAUCUUCGGCAAUGGACGGAAGUCUGACCGAGCAACGCCGCGUGAGUGAAGAAGGUUUUCGGAUCGUAAAGCUCUGUUGUAAGAGAAGAACGAGUGUGAGAGUGGAAAGUUCACACUGUGACGGUAUCUUACCAGAAAGGGACGGCUAACUACGUG
rnacentral:rRNA from 1 species